CGCAGGGGCGAGGCUCCGGGGCCGCGUGUAGGAGCGGCGGCAGGCGCGUUGCGGCCAGCGGCGGCGUGAGCUGGAAUGCUGCGCAGGCGGGCGCGCUGCGUUCGCCGGCCAGCAGAAAGCGUGCGGGCGAGACUAGACGGCGGCGGGUGCUCGGCGCCGAAUGAGACGGCAGCGGGCGCGCGGGUGGGGAGGGGCUGCGCGCGGCGGGAUCCGUCGCCGGGCGGUCGCGCUGGCCAGCGGCAGUGAGCAAGCGGAGCCAAGCCAGCAGCAGCACGCAGCGGCCGUGAGAUUCCAGCGCCGAGCAAGCAACACGAUGGGAUCCGGUAAUUGCGCUUUGGAGCACCUAAUUUUUUACGGCACACUCUGCUUCGGAUACGGGAAGGUGAUGAUGCUACAAUGAGUCAAUCAAGCCCAGCAAUCAGCCUUCUGCGGAUUCACAAUUAUUACCAGGAAUAGUAAAAAAUUCAUUGAUUUGGUUGAAUGAUCUUGUUAAUUACUGAAUUCAUCAUCAUUACUUAGUUACCGAUGAUUUCUCAAAUUACUACGAUACUAAAAUUAUUGAUGUACCAUGGCUAGUUGUUUUCGAUGAAACAAAAAAGGUACAUUGCUAAUGAUCUCUUGUAUUACUAGAUUACUGAUUGUAUUGGUCACCACAUGUUCCUAAAAUCACUGGCUGUACUGGACCUCUCUAUUACUGAAUCCAAGCAUGUAUAUAUGGUGUGACA